CCCAAUUAAAUUGAACACUCUGUCCACUCCUAAGAAUUUGUAAGACUCUUAUUUGCAUAAAAUGGACAGAGACCAGUCUCAAAAUCAAUCUGUAGCGUUUAUUCUCGAGAGUACUGAACACGAUACAGUUUACCACAGGUUAUAAACUGAAAAUGACGUCAUUAGUUUUCGAACUGUCCCGUCUCUUCUCCCACCCUGGUACAAAGGCAGUAUCUCAAGCCUUCCCACAUCGUCCCACACCAAUUUAAUAUAAUUUAUGACAGAGCCAAGGUCUUCCUGUGUAGAUAAGCAUUCUAGCCAGUCUGACGAUAAGUUCAUUCAUUUCUACCUAGGAACAGACAGUCAUUGUUCUAAUUCUUAAUGAUAUAUACACACAUUAUAUUCAGUACUAGGAUUAAAAGAAAAUUCAUACAUCUAUACAGUAACAUAAUAGUAUUCUGAUUAUUCAGUCCUGAUUGAAAUGUAUACAUAAUUAGUCAUUAUUGAUAAAAAAUCCCUUAACAUAUCCACACUAUGAUUAAAUAUUAUACAUCCAAGCACACAUCUAGUUAUAUUAAAAUAUUAAAAAGCAUACAUCUAUUUUUAUCAGAAAUAUUUAUUGUUAUCAAAAUACCACCUAACAUAAACCAAUUCUUGCAUUCACAUUGACUGUUUUAGGCCAACAUCAGAAUCAUAACCCUUCUCAUCAGAAUUUUCGUUACAAUCUUCAUCGAAACAAGAUACAACCUAACAUCUCUAAAUAUCAAAAUGCUCUUAUCAAAAACAUAAGUUCCUCGCAUAUGAAAAAUUUGGAUUCAUUAAUCUAUUUAGGUUUGAGGCAUGUAUUCAUCCUUCCACUGGUCAAAUCUUGGAAUCAGUCCGUAUCGCACCAUCUAUUUUCUCAUUGAUUUCUCCAGAGUCCUGGAAAUGAGACCUCAUACACAGGGAAUUAGACAAUAGCCACAAAACUAAAACAGUCACACAGGUGAAGGUAGCCCUUAACACAGUGAUCAUAACAUUUUUCCAUUUUCCAAACAUACUAUCAAACCAAUUAGUCAAAGAAGUAUCCACCCCAGAGUUUUCUGCCAACUCGUGAGCCAGGGUGGUCAAACCAGCUGAGGCUUUGGUCACUGAUUCAUCUGGAGCUGUGCCAUCGAGGAACAAACCAUCUCCACCCACUCUCACCCUUUCCAGCCAACAAAUAUAUCCAAGAUUAAUUCUAUUCCGCCAAGUCAUUCAUUACAUCUCUGGUAUAAUUGACGAAGCGCUGUGGAUUAUCCUAAAUAUAAUUGAUCCAGUUCACAUUCUUAUUUGAGUGUGGACCACUAGAAAAUACUUAACUCUAAUCCUGCUACGAUCUGAUUUCUUGCUUUGAACUCAUCUGGUAAUCCCCGUAGAACCCCAAUGUUAUCAAUAUAUACUCUCUCGUCAAAAGACCCAGAUGGAGUACUUAUUUUCUCCCGUUUGGCCAACUUCAUGUCUUGGUGUUGAACGAGUGUGAAAAGCAUUCCCAAAUGUACAAGGUCGCAUAAUCCUGUCCAAUCUGCCGGUAAAAACUGGCCAUAACAGCAUUCCCCCACACAACCACCAGAUGUCAGCCCUGGCCCACUUUACCUUAUUGAAAUCCCCAGAGUUCAACCAGCCUGUCAAAUCAGACAUGGUCUCGACAGUGUUAAUAUUCUCUGUCCUAUUGCAGGUACUAACUUCCCCUACAUAUUUCCCAUGAGUACUGUACCGGGCCAAACAGUAAUAAUCUCCUCCGGUCACUGUAAAGGGAGGAAGUCUUGAUUUAAAGGGAAUCUGUGGAUAUAAAUAGUGCAAAUCAAUACAACUGUCAUUAUCUGGCAUUCUUGCUUUCGUGAACAGCUUUACCAUACAGGCCAUUCCCCUGGGUGAAUCAAUUCCAUCAAAUGGAGAGGGGAUGGUUGUCAGCUGAGGUUUGGCUGUGGCGCAGGCAUAACAUUUUUCUUUAGCUACUGGUCUGGCUGUAUAGUGGAUCCAUUCUAACCAAAGAUUAGAAUCCCCAUAACCAGUUUCUACCUCGAUCACUUCCUUCAGAUCUUUCGUCUUCACUAUCUUCACCGGCCCUUGGCUCUGGACUAAUCUGCUGUCAGUGUCUGUUGUGUCAGGUGCUCUGUAUUCCUGCUGACGAUAGAGUUACCACCUGGCCUAACCUCCUAUACCCGGACCCGUACUAGGGUGUCGACCAAAAACUGGUCAAAUCCAACAUACCAUAACCCUAGAUCCUCUUUCAUUACUGUUUAAAGGGUAAGCCGUAUCUUUAUGCAAUACAUCCCUCUCUCCGGAUUACAGUCAAAAACUCUCACCUUCACUAUACUCCACCUCCUUCCAUACUGGGUGAGUGGAUUCAUAUAGCCCUCUGAGCUAUGACCUGUGUCCACGACCAACAUGGGGACCUGCACCAAUAUAUACCAUAAUGGCUCAGAGUCCUAGACUGCCAUGUAGUUAGAGACCCCUUUUGGUCUACAUAAAACUCCAUUGAGACAUCCUUACCAACCUCUACUCUAACUUCCUAUCUACCCAGAUCUAGGGAUCUCCUAUGCUUGUUUGGAACAAAAUCCUCAUCGUCUAAACCAUGGGUCAAAUUACCACUCUCCGCAUACUCAGGUGGGACGUGCUGUAUCAGGAAUAUGGCACCUACGAUAAGACAGCUCAGACCAAACAGCACUCCGAUGAAGCCCCACCCUUUUCCCGGAAAACAUAUCAUCAGCAAGAGGCGACACACUUUCACUUCUAUGAACGCUCACAGCUGGGGAAAAGUUAGGUAUAAGGGAAUCUUCAGUAAGUUUUGUAAAUAAACAAGAUUUUUUUCUUAAAAAGAAAGACAAAAGACUGUAGAUUCUCUCACUGAGUUUGAUCUUCCCACAUGUGUCACCAGUCACCGUACCCUAAAGGUUGCGGUUCCCUUCCUACCUCUGUGAUUGUUCGACAGUGUCAGGGUGUCCUACCCUCCUACAAUGUGUGAUAUGCACCCCGGGAGCUCUUUCGGCUAUCCUCACCGUGAAGGCAGUCACCAGGAGUACUUGGUAUGGCCCCUCCCCACCGUGCUGCUUCCCGUCUAUCCUCACCGCGAAGGCAGUCACCAGGAGUACUUGGUAUGGCCCCUCCCCACCGUGCUGCUUCCCAUCUUUCCUCACCGCGUAGGCAGUCACCAGGAGUACUUGGUAUGGCCCCGCCCACCGUGCUGCUUCCCGUCUAUCCUCCUCGCGUAGGCAGUCACCAGGAGUUCUUGGUAUGGCCCCUCCCCACCGUGCUGCUUCCCGUCUAUCCUCACCGCGCAGGCAGUCACCAGGAGUACUUGGUAAGGCCCCGCCCACCGUGCUGCUUCCCGUCUAUCCUCCUCGCGAAGGCAGUCACCAGGAGUACUUGGUAAGGCCCCGCCCACCGUGCUGCUUCCCGUCUAUCCUCCUCGCGAAGGCAGUCACCAGGAGUACUUGGUAUGGCCCCGCCCACCGUGCUGCUUCCCGUCUAUCCUCACCGCGAAGUCAGUCACCAGGAGUACUUGGUAUGGCCCCGCCCACCGUGCUGCUUCCCGUCUAUGCUCCUCACGUAGGCAGUCACCAGGAGUACUUGGUAUGGCCCCGCCCACCGUGCUGCUUCCCUUCUACCCUCCUCGCGUAGGCAGUCACCAGGAGUACUUGGUAUGGCCCCGCCCACCGUGCUGCUUCCCGUCUAAUCUCCUGCGUAGACAGUCACCAGGAGUACUUGGUAUGGCCCCUCCCCACCGUGCUGCUUCCCGCCUAUCCUCCUCACGUAGGCAGUCACCAGGAGUACUUGGUAUGGCCCCGCCCACCGUGCUGCUUCCCGUCUAUCCUCACCGCGUAGACAGUCACCAGGAGUACUUGGUAUGGCCCCGCCCACCGUGCUGCUUCCCAUCUAUCCUCACCGCGUAGACAGUCACCAGGAGUACUUGGUAUGGCCCCGCCCACCGUGCUGCUUCCCGUCUAUCCUCACCGCGUAGACAGUCACCAGGAGUACUUCGUAUGGCCCCGCCCACCGUGCUGCUUCCCGUCUAUCCUCCUCGCGUAGGCAGUCACCGGGAGUACUUGGUAUGGCCCCACCCACCGUGCUGCUUCCCGUCUAUCCUCCUCGCGAAGGCAGUCACCAGGAGUACUUGGUAUGGCCCCACCCACCGUGCUGCUUCCCUUCUAUUCUCCUCGCGAAGGCAGUCACCAGGAGUACUUGGUAUGGCCCCUCCCCACCGUGCUGCUUCCCUUCUAUUCUCCUCGCGAAGGCAGUCACCAGGAGUACUUGGUAUGGCCCCUCCCCACCGUGCUGCUUCCCGUCUAUCCUCCUCGCGUAGGCAGUCACCAGGAGUACUUGGUAUGGCCCCUCCCCACCGUGCUGCUUCCCGUCUAUCCUCCUCACGUAGGCAGUCACCAGGAGUACUUGGUAUGGCCCCGCCCACUGUGCUGCUUCCCUUCUAUUCUCCUCGGGGACUGGGUUGAGUGAAUCACCUUAUCCUGUAGUUCACCUGUAGUGCAUAAAUCUCGGACAUACAGGUUUGGUUAACAAACAGUUUCUCAUUUGUUCUAUCUGAUUAUAUCUUUAACUUCUAUGCCUACUUAUUAGCUACAUUUUUUUAUUAUUAUCCAAUAGGCCACUAAGUGUCCUAUCCUAGACCACAACUUACCCAUCCCCCUUUUGAUAUCUGGCUCUGCCCAGGUAACAACCUUAUCUACUCUAAAUAAUGACUUAGGUAAGAUUAGUAAAUUAUCCUUAUGUUCUGACAUUAUCAUGUAUGUCCAAUUCUCCCUUUGGCGCCCAUUCAUAUUUAUCCUGUACCAAUUCUCUGUCAAGUGGCUUAUCUACUUUUAAAAGGUAUCUGUGUUCAUUUCCUCUCUGCUCUGUAACAACUAUAUGUUGCUUCCAAAUUUUAACUAAAUGUCUCACUGUUUGGCUUUAUCUAAACUCAUUGAUUUAAAAAGAAAAAGAAAAACAUGUCUAUGGUGUCAAUUUCUAAAGUCCUUAUACAGGUUAAUUAAGGUUCUUGAUCCUAUCCCUAAUCCUGAAUCACCACAGAUGUCAUAUAUCCCUGUCAAACUUUAAUACUAUUUAAAUAAAAAUAAAUAUUUUUAAAUAAAAAUAUUCUAAUAUUCUAAUAUUAAUUAAAGCCAAAACGAAUGCUAACCAUAUCCUAUCUCUUUCCUGUGUUAAUGAAAUCUCCCCUUCGGGAAUCCACUGUAUUUUAUCUAAAAAUAACGAGUUAAACUUAAAAAUCAGUCACAUCAAUAAUUUAAUAUAUGUUGCCUAGUUUGAGAUACCUUAUCUACCGUAAUUUACCAUCCCUAAGAACUGCAACUUAUUUUCAUAAAUAAUUUUAAUACUUAUAAAAUCGCCUUUUCUAUCAUGUGUUUUCCUGCCCUAUUGGCUUAAUAACGGUGUUCUGUCCAAACCUCAAAAGGACCAUCUUCCGCCAUUUAUUAUCGAUGAUUAAUAUGAUUUCUGUUCCUGUUGCAGUACUAAAAACUCCAUUAUAAUACAUUUACUUUAAAAACCAGUAUCACCCAUGACUACAAAUUCAUUAUUCAAAUGGCUCCCCCCUGUGGCUGAUCAGACCAACUGGGAGAGCCAUGGAAACUUGGUCAAAGGUUACACCACCCCUUUACAUUCGUGUUCCAUACCAUAUUAGACAUAUUAAAGAACCCUUUAUCUUUAAAAAAAAAUGUAUUCACUUGUCUAAUUAAAACUCAGAAAAUAAAACUCCUAAUAUUCCAUAUGUGAGUGUACCCCUUUAAGAUAUCUUGUCUCUGGGAACAGGGAAAUCUCCUUAACGUAAACAUUUACUACAAAAACAAAACCUUAUUGUCACGCCCUGGUCUAAGUAUUUUGUGUUUUUCUUCAUGUAUUGGGUCAGGCCAGGGUGUGGCAUGGGGUUUUUGUAUUGUGGUGUGUUUUGUCUUGGGGUUUUGGUGUGUGUGUAUUGGGAUUGUAGCUAGUGGAGUUAUCUAGCAAGGUCUAUGGCUGUCUGGAGUGGUUCUCAAUCAGAGGCAGGUGUUUAUCGUUGUCUCUGAUUGGGAACCAUAUUUAGGCAGCCAUAUUCUUUGAGUUUGUCGUGGGUGAUUGUCCUUAGUGUCCUUGUUCCAGUCUAUGUGUUAGGUUACACAAGUAUAGGCUGUUUCGGUUUUCGUUUCGUUAUUUACAUUCUUUGUUUUGUAGUGUUUGUGUUACUUCGUGUUUAUGUUAUUCAUUAAACAUGGAUCGCAAUCUACACGCUGCAUUUUGGUCCGACUCUCCUUCACACCUAGAAAACCAUUACAGAAUCACCCACCACCAACGGACCAAGCAGCGUGUCAACAGGCAGGAGCAGCAGGAGAGGCAACAGGUGCAGCAGGAGAGGAGGCAACAGGAGCAGCCCAAAGAGGAGUACAGUAUGGACUAUACUUCUUGGGAGGAGAUAGACAGGUGGGCGGUCGACCCAGGGAGAGUGCCGGAGCCCGCCUGGGAUUCGAUGGAGCAGUGCGCGGAAGGUUAUCGGAGAAUGAGGUUGGCGAAGCAAGCACGGCGGCGCGGACGGAAGCCCGAGAGUCAGACCCAAAAAUUUCUUGGGGGCUCACAGGGAGUAUGGCUAUGCCAGGUAGGAGACCUGUGCAAACUUCCUGCGGUUACCGGGGGGCUAGAGAGACCGGGCAGGCACCGUGUUAUGCAGUGGUGCGCAUGGUGUCCCCAGUGCGGGUGCAUAGCCCGGUGCGAUAUAUUCCAGCUCCUGGUAUCGGCCGGGCUAGAGUGGGCAUCGAGCCAGGUAAGGUUGGGCAGGCUCGGUGCUCAAGAGCUCCAGUGCGCCUGCACGGUCCGGUCUAUCCAGUACCACCUCCACACCCCAGCCCUCCGGUAGCAGCUCCCCGCACCAGGCUUCCUGUGCGUGUCCUCGGUUCAGUACCACCAGUACCAGCACCAUGCAUCAGGCCUACAGUGCGCCUCGCCUCUCCAGCGCUGCCGGAGCCUUUCUCCUCUCCUGCGCUGUCGGAGUCUCCUGUCUGUUCAGCGCUGCCAGAGCCUUCCUCCUCUACAGCGCUGCUGGAUUCUCCUGCCUGUUCAGCGCAGCCAGAGCUGCCAGCCUGCAUGGAGCUGCCAGGCUGCAUGGAGCAGCCAGAGCUGCCAGGCUGC
ensembl:lncRNA